UGCGUGUAGGCUCCGUCAUGAGCCCGACUGCGCCUCCUCCCACCGCCUUUCCAUCCGACGUCGGCAAGCUGGUUGCGGCGGGCCCGCUUUUGCUGGCCUACAGCGGCGAAUCGGCCACCCGAUCUGGGCGUCGAUGAUGCCGCUGCCUCUGCUCCCCUCUUCCUGGUGCAGGGCGAAGACGCAAUGGUGGUGGCGAACGUGCGGUUUAUGGGACUCGCGGCGGUGCCCUUCUCCGUGGCCUCGCCCUCCUGCGCGGGCGCAGCCUCUGCUCUGCGACACCCGGACAACCAGUUCUGCAGCUCGUCAGCGCGCUCUAACGCGUGCUCAGCAACUUCCGUGUACGCCUCCCGACCUCCACGACGCGCUCCACGGCUUCGCAGGGCGUGACGGAGCCUCUGCUCGAAUCCUCAUUCGACGUCGUGCUCUGGGGCAAGGGGCUCCCGGAGUCCGUGCUCGCCGCCGCUGGUAAGACAGUCCUCCAUGUCUAUCCCAGUCUGUUCUACGGCUCCCUCUAUUCCUCCAUCCUGCUCGCCUCCUUCCUGUCCUUCCUCUCCCUGACCCUUCUCCGUCUUCAUUGACCGCGGUGGCGGCGGCGGCGGCGGCCGGCUCCUAUUCGUACACCGUCGUCGAUCUACACCGCCGCGGCGUGUACUCGGAUUUCGCGACCUUGCCGACCCUUAUGCUGCCCCCUUGGACUCUGAUCAGCAUCUCAUUCACGGAUAGGAAUUUGGAAGGGGAAAGAGAGAUAUAUGUCCAUUUAACUUCACAGUGCUCAGUGAAAUUAUUAUGGAGUGACUAAGACUACAAUACAAGCAAGCUCACCAAUGACCAAACUGCGAAGGCAUUCUAAUUAAUCUGAGCAAGAUCUCACUGUUGGAUCUGCGGAAAAAAAACACAAGUUUCUCCUCUAAUAAAGGGUGUGCCUGGACAAGUCAACAAGAAUAAUCAAGCAGCUUAAGGUAUUCUAAGAGGUAAGGGUCAUCUUGGCCUGUCCCUUUCCUUUAGGAGGUCCCUGUACUACUGCACUAAACAAAGAUUGGAUAUGGUUGCCCUUUUCAAUUUAGAAAUCAAUGUACGGUUCGUUCUUCACUGGAUUCAUACAACUGCAUCGGCCCAUGCUUGAAGAUCUAACUUCAUUUGAUUGCUGCGCAUUUUCUCUCUUUACUGCGAUUGGACUAUGAAGCUUAUUAUGGUUGGCUGGCUUUUGUUUUGCAUAUUGCUAGCAUCAUAUUUACAUGACUAGCUAUUGAGAAUAACUCUUGCAGGCCAUUGAAAUCAGAUUUCCUUAUCAGUUUGAUGGGGUGUCAUCGGGUCCAGAUGAUUUAGUAAUUGUCAUAGCGAUUUGCUCCUGCUGCAUCCACAUUUAAUAGCGCGCUCUAUAUAACUGAUCAGCAGAAAGGUAUGAUCCAAGGGAAGGUUUCUGGGCGCUGCUUCCAAGUAUGAGCGUGAGAAGAGGAUCCCACACCCACUCGGUAGCUGUCUUGGGGGAUGCCCCGUAUGCUGUGGGAGGGUAUGAUGGAAGCAACAUGAUAUCUAACGUAGAGAUUUUUGACCUGUGCACUAAUUCAUGGAGAAUAUGCAGCCCAUUACAGGUUACAAUGGACGAUAAUUUGUUCUACAUUGGCGGGCACAGAUACAUCAUGCCAGCGACUGCAUUUCAACCGUCCAUGAUCCAAGUAUGAACACAGGGAAAACUGUUCUCAUGCCGGCAUUUUCCAAACUACUUAAUGCAUCUAUGUAACAUGGCCAGUUCCACCUAAAUACAAUGUCUGUUAAGUUAGUGAACCCUCCUAUUCUCCUACAGCUCCUUAGCUAUCCCAAUUGGAGAUUUAAAUUGUAAUAUAACAACUGCUCCUGUCAAAUACUUCUAUAUGUAUCAUCUGCAGUAGUUUAUCCAUAAACUAUUUAUCACUC